rnacentral:lncRNA from 1 species
CAAAUCUGUUAAACCAUGCUGGAAAGAACAUAUGUAUGGGACGGAUUUAUCACUGUGAGUAUACCUAUCAGACAAUUUUUGAAUUCAGUGUGCUACUUGAAUGGUUGGAAAUGGCUCCAACAGUUUGCCACAGUGAUUUUCUAGAAGAAAAAUGUGACCUAUAUUAAAUAAUUCCAAAGAUAUUUUGGUGUAACACAGAGAAAACAAUCCAAAGAGUUAGUGAGUCUGGAAUGUUGGAGUUCUGACAUCAAAUACAAGGUCUCAUUUUAAACUCUUAAAAUUUAUUACACAUUUUGAAAUAAUAGUCUAUGCACUUUGUAUACUUCAGAUACAUGCUGUUUCUUUUUGAUAUUCAUAAAUAAACACAGGGUUAAGUUUUAUAUCUCUAGGCCUCAGUACUUACCAACAUUAAAAUACAUAGCUGACUUGUGUGAUGAUAAAGCAUCUAUGUUAAAUCUACCUAAACAUAGAGAGUAAACAUUUAAAUGAUUUCUAAUAAACCACACAAGAGCAGUAAGGCUCGUUAUGGGCACUGUUAUAAGGCACACUUGUAUACCCUUCUCUGCUUCCCCCUUCCAGUAGCAGCAACCAGAUGUGCUGUCUGUAAUUGUGCUGUAUCCAGGCCAUCUAAAAACUGGGGACUGCCUGCACCAAAACAGAUCAAGGAAGGGUGUGUCUACAGAGCAAAACAGGUGAGAAUGAGUAAAAGGGACCGAGAAGCCUCAACUGGAAGAGCUCUUGCCAAGUGAACGGGCUUGGCCACAGCCAUGGGAAUUAUUUCAGGAAUGGAUGUGUAAGAAUUGACCUGAUGAAAGGCAAUCCUUGAAUUCAAAGGAGUAAAUUACAAAGAGUUUUUCAUACUGCUGUUGGCCCCUCUACCACCCCUAUUUGGG